AUGCUCUGUUUUCUCUUCAGAAUGAACAAAUCUUUCGCAUUUUAUUAAAGAUGUCCGUGGAGAGGAGCAAAACUGAGUUUUAUCUCAAUUUUUGUAUGCCUGGUCUUAUUGAGGUU